rnacentral:rRNA from 1 species
UACGAGAGGCCCAAACGUUAUUCGGAAUCACUGGGCUUAAAGAGUUCGUAGGCGGCGGAGAAAGUGGGGUGUGAAAGCCCUCGGCCUAACCGAGGAAUUGCGCUCCAAACUACUUCGCUCGAGGAGGAUAGAGGUGAGCGGAACUGAUGGUGGAGCGGUGAAAUGCGUUGAUAUCAUCAGGAACACCGGAGGCGAAGGCGGCUCACUGGGUCCUUUCUGACGCUGAGGAACGAAAGCUAGGGGAGCAAACGGG